rnacentral:rRNA from 1 species
UACAGAGGGUGCUAGCGUUGUUCGGAAUCAUUGGGCGUAAAGGGCGUGUAGGCGGUUUGUUAAGUCAUGUGUGAAAUCCCUCGGCUCAACCGGGGAACGACGCAUGAAACUGGCAGCUAGAGUACCAAAGAGGGGGGUGGAAUUCCCGGGUGUAGCGGUGAAAUGCGUAGAUAUCGGGAGGAACACCUGUGGCGAAGGCGGCCCCCUGGUUGGAUACUGACGCUGAUACGCGAAAGCGUGGGGAGCAAACAGG